GCAUUAAUGGGGUAACGGUAACCCAGGUCAUACAAUUUACCCAGAGAUAGCGCAGUGUUGACCAGCCGGGGGUUCGAAUCCCUCUUAAUGCA